rnacentral:lncRNA from 1 species
GCCCAGGUGAGCAAUGCUGGCAGCUGAGGUGGUGACAGAACGUGGAAGGGCAUGAACAGAUUCUAAUACUUGUAAGAGGAAAAAACCCACAGGACUUUUAGAUGGUUAGGAUGUAGAGACAGAGGGUGGGACUUAAUUGAGCGUCGGGCUGAAGGCAACACCAGUAUGAUAGUGAAGACACCGUGCUGGUAGGUGGCCUGAGCCUAGACGAGUCAGGGAGCAUGGGCUGGACAUUGAGAAUGGGGACCUAAAGCAGUUCACCUUCUCUGUCUGCUGGGCAGUGAAGGCAGCAAAGGCCCCAGCCCAGUUAGCAGCAAGCGCAGAGUUUCUCCUGAGUGAUAAGAGGAGCUUCAAUGUGAAAGAACCUUUUUCUUUUUCUUGGAAUGCUCUGUUUUAUAGCCAAGUGGCUCCAGAACGCGGUGGACUGACGGCAGCAGAGCACACCCGGCCGAGAGUGUGUCCAGGAGUGACCAGCAGGGCGCGCGCCAGACUCGGAAAUGAGUAUUUUAGACUGUAGAUGUGCCCUGAAAUGCCUCAUCUCAGGGAGGGUGAGAAGAGUUUCUCUUAAGCAAGUGUGGUGUCUGCUUCUGGUGCUGUUUAUGGCAGAGCUGGAAACUGUCUUCAAAAUUAACAAUAGAUGUGCAUAAAUCUUCUUCAGUUACCUAGCAACUAAUACAAGACAACGCAGAGGUUCACAGGCUGGGUGGAGGUAAGCCUGUUUUAGGAAUACCUGGGAUCAUUUCCACAAUAUUUGGGGGAUUGUGGGGAAGGAGAGAAAGAAAAUUAAUGCAACUAAUGAAAUGUUUGCGUUUCUUUCUUUUCGUUUUUUGAUAAAAAUUGAAUCAGAGCAUAGAAACCUUUCCUAAAUCUCUGAGGUUUCUAGCAACAGUGAGGAUUUACAAAGACUAGAUAAUUUCCAGGACCCCUUCCAAAGCUACACUUUUGGCUGUAAAUUAGCUAUGUGACCACAUUUGUAAAAUAAGAGGUUAGAUGAGGGGAAUUGUAAAGUUUCAUCCACGUUACUACGAUGUGUGUGGUGAUAGGGUUUUUAGGUUUCUGUUCUAUUCAAUUAAAAGGUACGUAUUCAGAAUCAAAGUGGAUUUUUAAAAAGGAAAAGAUGUUGAAAUAAUGACAUCAAGAGGCAUGUGACU